AUUGAACGCUGGCGGCAGGCUUAACACAUGCAAGUCGAGCGGAGAGAGGUAGCUUGCUACCGAUCUUAGCGGCGGACGGGUGAGUAAUGCUUAGGAAUCUGCCUAUUAGUGGGGGACAACAUUUCGAAAGGAAUGCUAAUACCGCAUACGUCCUACGGGAGAAAGCAGGGGAUCUUCGGACCUUGCGCUAAUAGAUGAGCCUAAGUCGGAUUAGCUAGUUGGUGGGGUAAAGGCCUACCAAGGCGCCGAUCUGUAGCGGGUCUGAGAGGAUGAUCCGCCACACUGGGACUGAGACACGGCCCAGACUCCUACGGGAGGCAGCAGUGGGGAAUAUUGGACAAUGGGCGCAAGCCUGAUCCAGCCAUGCCGCGUGUGUGAAGAAGGCCUUAUGGUUGUAAAGCACUUUAAGCGAGGAGGAGGCUACUCUAGUUAAUACCUAGAGAUAGUGGACGUUACUCGCAGAAUAAGCACCGGCUAACUCUGUGCCAGCAGCCGCCGUAAGAC
rnacentral:rRNA from 1 species